ACCAAGCUGACGAGUCUCGAAUAGGAUGAAACGUGCGUCAAGCUUGAU
rnacentral:hammerhead_ribozyme from 1 species